rnacentral:tRNA from 1 species
UUAGUUAAAACCAAAAUAGAGGUAUACUACUGUUAAUAGUAAAAUUGAAGAAUAUUCUAACUAUU